rnacentral:rRNA from 1 species
CCUACGGGAGUCAGCAGUGAGGAAUAUUGGUCAAUGGGCGAGAGCCUGAACCAGCCAAGUCGCGUGAAGGAUGACGGCCCUACGGGUUGUAAACUUCUUUUGUCAGGGAGCAAUUGGGUCCACGCGUGGGCUUAGCGAGAGUACCUGAAGAAAGAGCAUCCGCUAACUCCUUGCCAACAGCCGCGGUAAUACGGAGGAUGCGAACGUUAUCCGGAUUUAAUGGGUUUAAAGGGUGCGUAGGCGGAAUAUAAAGUCAGCGGUAAAAAUUCGGGGCUCAACCCCGUCGUGCCGUUGAAACUGAGGUUCUUGAGUGGGCGAGAGGUAUGUGGAAUGCGUGGUGUAGCGGUGAAAUGCAUAGAUAUCACGAAGAACUCCGAUUGCGAAGGCAGCAUACCGGCGCCCAACUGACGCUGAAGCACGAAAGCGUGGGUAUCGAACAGGAUUAGAUACCCCUGUAGUC